UAUUAUGGAAAUAUAUUGGUUUAGAGUCAUUGUGAUGUGUGUAUGUUUUAUGCUUGCAGUGAUGUCUCUGGUACUUUGUGGUCCUUGCAACAUUUCACUCACACAAUCCCCCUUAGGAUCACUUGUAGGGCCGGUUUAGUGGUGAUGAAUGGUGACAAAUUCCUUCAGUUUUUGUUUGUUUGGGAAGACCUUUA